AACGUUCUGCUUUUUGCAGAUGAUGUGAUUCUGAACUUCGGGUUGUGAUCUCCAGAUUUCACUGCAGAAUGUCAACCUGCACCAACGUAUCAGACAUCCUGGUCUCGGUCGACCCCUCGAUCAUUCCCUGAGCUGCUGAUGGAGGCUUAGAUCUCCUGAUAUGACAUCCAUGAACACGACGUCACAUCAGGGCAGUCUGACCAGGACUGGAGGCUAGAGGCUAAUAAAUCAAUAAACUUCCAGAAUUUGUUGAUUUCCAUGAAGCUAUUUCUGAUUCCUUGACAUUUGAACACAAACAAAGACCAAUCGUCCAACUGCACAGAAGAAUCUAGUUCCACUUAACUUAAUGUCAGCCCCCCGGCCCCCACAGCCAUCAGAACUAAAAAUAACCCUCCAAAGCCCAGACACUGUCCUCUUUGAGGCUUCCUGGCUCCGGCUCCAUCUGGCUGGCCUUUCCCUGCAGCAGUAUCAGUGCGAUGUGCCAAAGUGACAACUGCAUACCAUGCAGAUCCUGACUCUGCCCUCCUCUGUGGCCAGUUAGCCCGUCGGAGCGUUCAUCCGUCUGUCGGUCGGUCGGUCCGCGGCCCGCCUGGCCCCGGCACCAGCAGCCCCUAAUCCGGGCGCGGGCUUUACCCCACUAGCUCAGUGUAAUCACACAGCUAAUUCACAGGCAGACGGGAGGAAGGCAAUCCGUGACGGACGUUUUUUGUGCGACUAAGAAUGAGCUCCCCGGUGACCAGAGGAGGUUGAGGAGAGGGAGGCUGUCAGUGAAAAGAUGGCUCCAGAAAGGCGAGAUGCGAGGGGAAUAGAUGAAUAGCAGGAACCCGCUCCCAGAUAGGAGCGCCGAAUAAGGAAAAUGUUUGGUGUGGAGAAAAAAAGAGGACAUGAAUCUGCUGCAGCCUUUUGCCAAGAGAAUGUUGAAAGAGCCAUUAUGAAGUCAGGAGGUGCACGGAUUGCAGCUUGGCUGUCUGCCCGAUUCAAACCAUCCAAGUCUGAGCAACAAAGGGAAGGAGGAUCUUCUGCUGGAGCUGCACUCAGGGCCAGGAAGCGCAGAUUUACCAGGUUUUCCUCGAUCGGACCUUCUUUCAACCCAGACCUAAAUAUCCAAACAGAACAAAACCCAGAGGGAAGGGAAGUGGAGCCGCUCGACUCCAGCAGAAACCCAGCUUCAUUUACGCCAACAAACAGAAAUAUUCUUCGUUCCAGGGAGGAAUGAUUAGACAUCAUGGGAGUGAAAUGAUAUUUAAAAACAAAAAUAAAGGAUUUUAUUCCUUUAGUUUUGGACGAA